AGGCCGGCCCAAAGAAGUUUAAUGUUGGAGCUUGUUCCAGGGAAGAACGGGCUAAGAUAGGAAAAGGCACCGGCCCAAUCAGGAGUCCCAAGCCCAUCCAGGUCAGGUUUUAGAGCCUGGAAACCCUAGACCAUUAUAUCGCAAACAAACUCCCGCUAUCACAGUCGCAAUAGCAUCCGGUUUCAUCUGGAGAGUUCCUAGGAUCAAAGGAGAGAGAAUCGAAGCAGGUCCGAGUCGCGAUGAGGGCUAAGUGGAAGAAGAAGCGCAUGAGGAGGUUGAAGAGGAAGCGCCGAAAGAUGAGACAAAGGUCCGAGUAGACAUUUCAACAAGAUUGCUCUCCUGAUGUGACUCCAUCUUCAUCACCUACUGGCAGGUGGUGUGGGGGACUAGGAAGGGGAGCGUGCAUUGUCUAGUGCAAUUCCUAUGUCAGUGUCAUGUUUUGGUAAGAGUUCAGGAUUUAUUGUUUUUUGGUCAACUUUUGUCUUGUUUUGGUGUUUCUUCUGCAACUUAGUGACCUGUGGUACCUGUAGAAGAUAAAUUACCUUUAUUCGGAAUAUGUAUUGAUUUUUUUAAAAGGAUUUAUGCAACUGGUGAAGUUUUGCUCAAA